CCAGCCUAAUCAUCGUUUCUUGAGGACAUGGAUGUGAGGACUCCCUGUCAGAUCAGGUUAUAUGGCUGAUGGCUAGGGUCCAGCAGUAAGCCCAGUUAGGGAGCUUCUGUGACAGACCAGAGGGCAUCCUCAAAAUUCACUAAUUUAGAACAUAAAAUGGCUAUGGAGCUGUUUUUUGGACUGCUUCAUUUAGAGUGCAGAUAUGCU